UGUUGCUUUUUACUUGGCCCGUCGCUAGCAUUUGUGCCUCUCUCCUCAGCCCUUACAGCUCAAUGCACGCGCUCCUUAUCAAGUUGGUGUUCUGCUCGUUGUCAGAGAGAGAGAUAGAGAGAGGUAGAGAGGCCGCUGUGAGAGGUGAUAAAGAGAGAGAGAGCGAGAGAAAAGAAGCGCUUCAGACCCUUCGAAGAAUCGCUGCCUCGUCAUCCUAUUGAAUCAUUUCUCCAUCGUAUGCGACGUCUCAAAAGUGCCUCUCUGGGACGCGUCUGUCAGAGCGAUCCUUACGUCGAAUCGCGGCGAAUUUACGGACGUCAGGUGCGAUCUCAUCGCGCACAGCUCGCAGGCGAGCACACGCACGCACGCACGCAGCUUUCACAAUCAGCAGCACGGGGCUCGAGACGGCAUAGGGGCCGAGCGCGAGGCCUUUAUGCGCGCGAUGGCCCGACGUUUGCUUCGCCUGCCAUCUCGUCGGGUUUAAUCUGUCUGUUGUGCGGCGACGCGCAGAAUCCGUCGAGCAAAGCGGAAAACGAACAAACACGCUCUUUCGCGCACAGAGAAAACGACCGGUUGUUCCGUUUUAUUCUUUGUUUUUGUUCACGCGUGCCGUCUGAAGCAGGGAGUCGAGAGAGUAUUCCGGUUAUCCUCGUCGUGGAGCAUCGGAUGUCUCGAAACGGAUUGCGCAAAUUGCAAAAGGAUGUCAGUGAGACAAAUGCUUUUAAGACAUACAUUUCGGCGCGCUCUGAUAGAAGGUUAGCAAAGCACGCCGGAACCUGAUGCUUGGGUUGGGACUCUGAAUAUUCCAAGCAUUCGUAACGGCAUAACAACGAUGAGAUGGAUGCGUACGCUGUGUACGUCGCAACGCACUUGGAAAACAAGAGCGCGACAAAAACGAACACCAAGACAAAUGCCGGCCUUCAUUCCUCGUGAGUGACGGCAUCUGAUACACGUGUGAUAGCGCAACAAAGAAGAGCAAAAGUGUCUCGUCAAGCUUCUACAUCUCCAAAUUAACGCAACGUCAAUUUUACCAAGGUCCAGAUAAGGCCCUGUCGCAACAUAUAACAUUACACUGUAUAAUGCACGUCUCCCGGACUCUCAACAUCAAUAGUAAUCCUUGCAUUUGAUCGUUCUUUCGAGUGCAGGCCGCCACUUCAGCCUUUCCUGCGAAAGACAUGGCUCAAGGUGUAUAACUCGCUGAAACUUUUUACGCUCCACCCGUCAACAAUUCUCACAGGCCCUGUCCUGAACAGCAAAGUGGUGACGCGGUCACAGUCGCGCAUGUCGCAUUAGAUUUGCAACAAUUCUACAAGUACGUUUCGUCCAUUGCAUUAUUUGUAGUUUUGUUCAGUUCGCAACAUUGAUGGUAAUGAGGUGCCAUGUAUAGCGAUAAUGUUUAUAUGACUGCGUGUGUGAGAGUUUUAUGAUCAUCUUUCCUUUUGCUUUGUGCUUCCGCGCAGUCGCCCUGUCAUCAUCACCGGAAAUGCAUAUGUUCUGUGCGCGGUAACACGCACACACACGCAGGCACAGAAACAAGUAGACAAAGUGAAAUUCUCUUCAAUGUCGCUUAAUAAAUUCAUUCCCUCAAUGCGAUAUCGUUUCGAUCUUUCGAAAUUCAACCGGGCGGUUUCGGAAACUAUUCCACUCCAAAGCUUGGAAGUGUAACUACGCUGUAUCCAGCAGAAACGUUUUGGUGCUGCCACACAGUACAUGUGCCAGACUGUUCGAGGCGAGAGAAGCAAGAGGCCCGGGUAUCAAUUUAAGAAGGAAAGCUCAAGAGGCAAAGAAACCUUUUCUGUUCUGUCUGUCAUAGCAGCGGAGCAAAAUGCCACUUUCAUUUACUUUCUGUCUGCUCAAGCAAGAACAUCCCUCGCAACCUUUGUCGUGAACAGGCAAGUCCCCUGUGAACAGGAACUCCGUGAAUGCGCAAUUUCUAGGCCCCAUUAAUCAUUCCCUUCUCUUUCAACGUGUGUCGCCCUCUCCGUUUCGUCUGAGCCGGAUGUUCCUAGCGUGGUGCAUGUAACUUUCUCGAAGAGAGAGAGCGAGAGAGAGGAAGAAGUGGAUUCAGAUAGGAGAUGAAGGCGGCGUGUUAGGCUUGAGUUAGGCACGUGCUGCUUUUACGACGUAGUUUGGCACAGUUGCGGGCUCUCUGGAAUUUCUUUUUAUCAUCAUGUGCUUCAAGCCGCCGCGGUAGCAUGUAUGUGCCGCCUCUUACCUCUAAAAAUAACAAAGAAAGAAAAUAAAUACCCGGAAUGAGAAGUAACAUACGACUGUCCAGAAAAGUGAGCGUUAUCUGCGCUGGUUUAUAUCCACGUUGUUUUAUGCUUGCACAAAAGCAAGGCUUUCAUUUUUUUUUUUUUGCCUUUCGCUUUAUAACAGACGACGCGGCCAGAGCGGCGCACUUCUUGAAGCCUUGAGACGGGAGUAAAGCGCAGCAGCCUUCACGCUCGCGGGAAUAAAGCAAGGAGGCCGCGGCGCGGCAAGAGAGGAGCGCGGAAGCUUUUUUUUUUAUGCCCGGGAUUCACGGAACAUAGCGUGAUUCGCGAUAGGAGCUGCGGCUCCGCGGACGUAGACGCAGUUGAUUCCUCGCGGCAUUUGCAGGACCCGAGGGCAGAGGCGGAAGGCAUUGCGCGGCGUUUCUCAGAAGCUGCGUGCUGCUCUGGUCCCGAAUAACCCGCGCACGGUAGACGAGGUUGUGGAAGAAGAGUGAGCCCGUGCGAAACAAGUGUAAGGUGUUAUGGGCGCAUUCCAGUGACCGCUUCGGUUGGCGAUGUCUUGCUCGCUGCUGUCGUCGCCUGUGUCCGUCGCAGCUACCACCAAAAACAAGAAGAAAAAAAACUGUUCCCGCCAGGAUCGAACCCGGACCCUAUGCGCGGGACUCAGCUACUUCACUACGGCGCCACGCCUGCGCUUGCCAGCUGCUGCGGCAACGUGCCAUAUACGGGGGUCCCAGUUCGUGAGGAGUCGCGCGAUGUAAGAGGCGCGCCGUGCAUCGCCGAUACAUGCGCAACUUGCAUUCCGUUUGCAUAUUAUCGCACCAGAUGGCACGCCAUGCAUGUAGCAGCUGCACAGCUGGCGGUACAGGGUAGUUAGACAAGUUUUGAGGAAGAAAAAGGAGAAUAAGGGGACGUAUGCAAAAAUGCUAGGAUGAAAAACAUGUCUCGCAGAUCUGAAUAAAUCAAGCAGGCUUGGUGACUCUUUGUCGCCGCCCCGUUUCAAGAGAGAUGUCAAUAAGGCAUCAUCAUCGCCGUCAUCAUCAUCAUACUCAUUAUCAUCAUCAGCAGCAGCAUCGUAUCGUGCCACUUGUCACGCAGCGUGAGAUGCUUCACCACGUAGCAUCGAUGCGUGCGAACUUUGCAUUGCAGUUGCGCUGUGUUCCACCAAGUGUCACGGCAUAUGGCACUUGCAUCGUAUCGUGCCACGUGUCCAGAGAUGUGACAUGUGCGCCGCGAAGUCUGGACACCUGUGUUUACUCUUCGGUGCACGUCAUGGCGGCUCCUCGCAUAGUACGAGCCGCCGCUGAAGAAGCGAAUCGUAGAGCUACGCGCACGGCUGCAAACAGGCGACGUCGAGCUCAGCAGACCGCUGCACAGAGAGUAGGAGAAGCGCCGCACCUCGCCGUUGACGGCUGACUCGCAGUUCAGUUCGUUCUCGUGAAAUCGCCGCAAAGACACUUCGCCGCGAAGACGCUCACGAGCGCGCUGCCAAAAAUGGAGCUCCUAUGGAGCCUCUCCACCAGCUGACGCUGUGACUGUGCGGCGUGUGCCACGCGUGACUGCGACCGCUCACCCUCUUUGCUUUAAUGAAUUAUGCCCUGUACGGGUGAUGUUCAUUCUGGUCUAUACCACAGUGGUUGUAGUUACAUUAAAAUGUACGAUGCCUUUGUAUUCCUCCGUCUGACCUUUGGGGAAAUAAUCCUUGUACAGCUUGUGUAUUUACUGCCCCCCUCCUACAAUAAUACCCUGUAGGAGCGAGUUACUUGAAUAAAUAAAUAUAUAAAUAAAGAAAUAAAUAUAUAUAUAAAUAGUCGACGGUAUAGGGCAGGCAGCGCCAAUGAAGAAAAGAAACAUGCUUCUAUGCUUCUGUGUAAAUGAUGAGAAUGCCAUCGUGUAUGGAGCUGUGCACGGGCUCGGGCCGGCACGAAAGCCCGCACCCGGCCAGGCCCGCGGGCCGGGAUCGGGCGAUUUGGAGAUUCCCUUAACCGGGCUUGGACCGGGCCCGGGCCAAGGAAGCUCCGUGCCCAAAACUUGCUCUUCUUGCUAAGAGGCUAUUAGCCAUUCCGGCCACCAGUUCAAGCAGUGAACGAAACUUUAGCGCUGCCGGAUCUUCAUCAAUGGUUUAAGCACAAUAGCUUAGAAUAACAAUUCUGUGUGCGCGCUGCAUCUGUAUAUAUUCACGAUUUUGUCAUAUGGAAUGCAAGAGUUCCACAUUAUAAUGUCAUUUAAAUAAACUGAUUUUCCUGAUA